rnacentral:piRNA from 1 species
AGACCAUAUAGUAGUAGAGCUUCUCA